AUGUUGGGUUCUUGAUGAAGGGAACAGUGAAGAUUUUGCAAGAAAGUUCAGAAUUUCAGUGGGCAAGUUCAAAAAACAAAGAAUCUUAUGGGGUUCUAUCUCUGGUGGAAAGGAAAGAAAAAAACACCGAAAGUAGGAUUGAAAAAGUGAAAUAGGUUUCUCUGGAGAUGAAGAAUUUGAUAAGCAGAUUCUUCAGAAAUUACAAAGAAGAAUGGAAGGAAGAAUGAUAAACAAGAAAUUGAUGGAAAGAACAUAAA
rnacentral:misc_RNA from 1 species